CGGCCACGCGCGCCGUCAGGGACACCGCCGCCAGGGCGCCGCUGUCCGGCGGCGGCCAGUACUCCCGCGACGCCCGGCCGGUCAACAGCGGCCAGUCGGACGAGCUCAAGGGCCGGCUCUCGCUGCUGGAGCGCGAGCUGAUGAGCGAACAGGCCAAGCGCGAGCUGCUGGAGUCACAGGUCUAUCAGCUGAGCUCCGACAACCGCAGACUGCAGGAGGAGAGCAAGCAGGCUGCUCACCAGCUGCGCAAAUUCACCGAGUGGUUCUUCAAUAACAUUGAGAAGCCAUGACCGCCUCGCUGCUCCCCGGCGCGGGCUUUGGCUGUAGGUGGCGCUAGCAGCGGCAGCAUAGGCGGCGCUAACGGCGUCGUCCGUCAGUUCUGGCAAGGGACCACGGCCGGACCGGACUUGUUGGUGCCGGCCGGCUUAGGUUUACAAAGUGCAGCUAAGCGCCAGCGAUGAUUGAUUUGGUUUUGUUAUGUUGUCAGUCGUCACUUGUGAGCGUUUUUACGUCUGUCGCCAAAGAAGCAGAGAUUUAGGGAUAUGAAUGCAUGAAUAGGCAUGCUUACUUAGUUGUUUCCGCUAAGCUCGGUAGCUAUUUAAGUUCAGUUAGAAGGCGCUUUGACCUUUGUUCUUUGGCUGUGGAGUCAUCACAAUGCUCCAACCAUUGCUCACAUGUGAGUGAAACGUGGAGACUGAAAAGCGGUUUGCGUCUGUUUCUUCGUGUAUCCUCAAUGCGUCUCGUUGAUGUACGAAAGCACUGACUUCUUGCUUCUGUGGAGUAGCUGAGUCUGCCUCGGUCAGAAUCUAGUCCGUGCCUAUUUUUGUAACGUGCGAUGAUCGGAGCUCGUGGAACGAGGGUUUUGUAAAUACAAAACGAGAUCGUUUCA